GUCCUCACCCUUAUUGAUGACUCAGUGUACUUGCAGUACGUUUUCGUCGUCCUCACCCUUAUUGAUGACUCAGUGUACUUGCAGUACGUUUUCGUCGCUGUGAAUAGUUCGCAGGGUCUCUUCAUACUUUGCUUCCAGUGUCUAGGACAAGAACAGGUUCGGGAAGCACUCAGGAACUUAUGGAGAAGGCAUACUUCAUUUUGUGGUGCCAAUUGAGGAUAAAAUUAAUGCCAGUUUAACUAUAUAUUCUGAUGUAUUAAGAGGUCACCCUGCAAAACAAAAAGUGUGAACUAUCAAGUUUAUAAUAUAAUUUUAAUUGUUUUUAAAAGCUCAAAGUUUUAACUGUCAAGAUAAUUAUUUUAC